rnacentral:sRNA from 1 species
GACGGGUGUUGUGGUGCACACCUGUAAUCCCAGCAGCUCAGGAGGCUGAGGCAGGAGGAUCACGAGUUCAAAGCCAGCCUCAGCAAAAGCGAGAUGCUAAGCAACUCAGGGAGACCCUGUCUCUA